rnacentral:lncRNA from 1 species
CGGUGCAUUCCCAGCCAAUCGCAACGUGUGGACCGAGAAGGGCGGGACUACUCCCUUCCUUCCUCGAUCCUUCCCUCGCUAUUCCGCCCUCUUCUUUCCCCCUCCCCAGCCCAUUCCCUUCCCCCAAUUUCAUCCCCAUUUCCCUUUCCCCUUAUUUUUCUCACCCUUACCCCACCCCCGCCCUCAAAGGUCUCUUUACGUUCAGUUUCAAACGACACCGUGGCCAAUGAACAUCGGGGCCACCGUCGAGUGGCGGCCACGACGGCCAAUGCGAGCGCGACAAGAACGAAGCGCUCGCGGCGCGCCUGUGACGACAACCGGCGUGUGACGCAGCCGGACCCCGCGCGCAGAGCGGCCCGGGUGGCGGCGGCGGCGGGGGCGGCGGCGGUUUCGUGGCGGCCGCGCGCGUUCGGAGCGGCGGCAAGAGGACGAUUUUGGUCCCUUCGUACGGGGGACGCAGCUCUUCGUCAUAGACUCAUAGAAUUGGAAAAUAGGUUAUGCCAACGUCUCACCAAAAAAUAAACACACAUACGGAGACACAACAAAACCAUAAAACAAAAUCAUUGGGGGAAUUGGGAAAGUUCUCGCAAAGGAGAUGGCAUUUGACUUGAGCCUUGAAAGGAUCUAGAGGUGAGCAAUAUGCCAACUUUCCAACUACUAAUAAUUUUCAUUGUAAUUCUUAAAAGUGUGGUGCCCUGAUCAGACACUCUCCAAAAGUGAUCAGUCAAGUGCUAACCAUGGUACAGUGAAUCAGAAACAACUAUUUGCUUAAUAAGUUGGGCUACGGCUACAUACCACUAUCUAAAGAACUGACUAUUUACUCAAUACCAAAAGGCCUUUGGGGUGUGGCUUUCUGAAUUUCCCUUUGCAAUUAAAGUGGUACUUCUCUUGAAACUGUACUGUCCACAGUGACCUAAAGCUUCCCAGACAGGAGUUAAACAGUAAUUUCUUUUCUAUGAUUCCUUUGGGGGGGGGCGGGGAGUUAGUUGUAUACUUUGCAUUGGUGAUUUAUUAUUAGGUCUAAUAGGGCUGCAUGUGACAGAGCAGAAAUGACAUACUGAAGCUAUAUGACAGAAGAAUAGGAAUAUUUAAGGAAUUUCUAUGAAAGGAGGGAACCAGGAAAAGAGAAUUCAUGUGAGAAAUGAAAAGGUUUUUAAAAUAAUUUUUUUGCAUCACACUAAUUUUACUCCACAUUCUUUAUCCUUCAUCCUUUCCAGAAAAUUAUCCCUAAAAUUUUAAAAAUAGAAUUUCUUGGCGGGUAGGUUUAAUAUGAGGUCAGUAAGAAUCGGGGCAUCACUUUAUUCCAUAAAUAAUGCUGAAAUUGGAAGUAGAUGCUAGACUUCCUUUGCUUGUAUUUGUGUAGAUUUUUAUUUGGUAUAGAGAACCUUAGGAUCCAGUUAAACAGUAGACUAAGAAGAAGUGCAAGGUGGAGAACUAGAUAGGUUAAAAGUAAUCAUACUAUAUAACUAAAUUGUAUUGUGAGAGAACUAAUGUGCAAAAUGGUGGACUUCUUUCAAAGGAGCAGUAGUAAGCAUACAAAUUUCUAUUCUCGAAGUAGGCCCCUAGUUUUACAAAAAUGCCAAAUCACCCUGAGCUAGCAGAAGAGGACAUCCCACUUGUCUUAUAAGGAGUAAAAUAUAGGUGGAUGAGGUGGAUGAUUGUAUUGGGUUAGAACUUCACACCAAGACUAUGAGCCCAUGAUCAACAGCCAUUGGUGAACUGGGUGAGUUGUGGAAGAGGGAUAUUGUGUUAGGGUCUAUAUAAGCUACCACUUACUUGCUACCCAGUGGCACUGCCAAUUUGAAGCUUUGCCCUUUUCCAUGAGAAAGAUUAAACCUGACUUUGUUCACCUAGGUGGUCUCUAUUAUCUUUAAGCUAUAUCGUAUUAUAUGUAUGGUGCUUUAAGAUUUACAAAGGUCUCUCCUGAAAAUGGCCUUGUGAAGUUGGUGAUAUAGAUGGCAGAUGGAAGGCAAAGUGACUUGUAGUAGUGUAGAAAUUAAAAUUAAUAUAUAAUAACUCAAGUAUUAUAUUUACAUAAUUUUAAAAAAUAAAGCAAGAGUUAAAAAGGAGCUAACUUGACCA